GGGUUUCCUGCAGCCAAAGAGCCAUGAGUCACAGCAGCUGGCUCAAGGCUGGGAGGGGAAGUAAAACACUAAAUCUAAGGACCACUCUAUUCACCCUACAGUGACUGCUCUUUUUCCCUCCUGCCACAGUCCAGGGUAGGAGAUACUUCUCCAGGCUCUCACUUAUGGGGGCUUUCCUGCUGGCUACAUCACUGAAAUGGAAUCUCCUAGUGGCCCUUCUCCCUCUACAGCUCUGGUGUUACACUGAAAAACUAGAAGUUUCAAAACAGACAAGGGAAAAAGAGAAACAUCAGAAAGUCUGAUUAAAGUAGAAGCAUCAUAUUUCUAUCAACGUAUCCACUGUGCUUGGCAGGGGAUGGGCCCUUCUGCUGCAGCAUAAGAGGGGUCAUUCAAUGGCCUGUGUCAGCUACUGGGAUGGACCUGCUGUCCAUGGGAUACUGACACCCACUAGUGAAGCAGAUCUUGCUCUGUCUCUUCUCUGUGACUCUGUAAUAUUCACCGGCAGGAAAACCCAAGGGAAUGACUACUAUGACAUCUGAUGGCAUUAUAGUAUACAUAGCCUUGGAAUCAGAAGACCAAGAACAUACAAGAGAACAUAGCCUUGGAAUCAGAAGACCAAGAAACAAUUUAACUCUGCCCCUCUAGAGCUCUGAGAACUUGGGCAAGCCUUUUACCCUCUUGAAUUUUUGCCACCUUCAAUGAGAAAGACUGAAACAAAAAACUCAGAAGAAAGAAAGAGACUGAGAUAGCAAAUAUGACAAACUGUUAAAAAUUCAUGAAUCUGUUAUGGAAUACUAUGCAGCCAUAAAAAAGGAUGAGUUCCUGUCCUUUGCAAGGACGUGUAUGAAGCUGGAAACCAUCAUUCUGAGCAAACUAAAACAGGAACAGAAAACCAAACACCACAUGUUCUCACUCAUAAGUGGGAGUUGAACAAUGAGAACACAUGGACACGGCGGGGUGGUGGGAACAUCACACACCGGGGCCUGUCAGAGGGGAGGGGGCUAGGGGAGAGAUAGCAUUAGGAGAAAUACCUAAUGUAGAUGAUGGGUUGAUGGGUGCAGCAAACCACCAUGGCAUGUGUAUACCUAUGUAACAAACCUGCAUGUUCUGCACAUGUAUCCCAGAACUUAAAGUAUAAUAAUAAAAAGAGAGAUUAAAAAAAUUGGUGAAUCUGGGCAAAAUGUACACAGGAUUUUUCUGUACUGUUCUUGCAACUUUUCUACAGAUUUGAAAUGUUACAAAAUAAAAGGUAUUUUUAGAAAAAGAG
rnacentral:lncRNA from 10 species